AAAAAUCUUACUAUUAUAUUUGUAACAAAUUUUAUACAUAAGAUAAAUUCGUAUGUAUAGCCGUUCUGCUCGAAACGGUGUAGCAUUGGAAGCGUUCCAUGGUACUAUGAAUUGUAGCGGGGGAGAGUCGCCCCAUAACAGGCUUGGAGGUACUCUGUGCGGGUACUUUGUUAACGCUAAAAGUAGAAAGUAAGCUACUGCGGGACUUCUAGGGCGGAGUUUAGAAGAGUAGGCGAAUUAGUCUGCGACAAAGUAAGU
rnacentral:sRNA from 12 species